UUCAAAUAUGAGGCCAGGGGUGGUGGGAGUGGGGACAGUGUGUGUCCCCACCCCCUCCCCCCUGGGCCCCAAGAAGCAACAACAGCAGCAACAACAGCAGCAACAACACAACAACAACAACAACAACAGUAAUGUGAUGCUGACUGUUCUCAGGAGGACGCAGGGGGUCAGCGGGCAGUCUGGAGGUCGUUCUUGGUCCCCUAAUACAUAGUGCAUUAAUGCAUCAGCACCACUAAUAGUAGGAGCAGCGGUAGUAGGUGAACCAUCAACUACUACUACUACUACUACUACCCAACAACAACAACAACUAUUCCGUCCGAUCGCUCUCCCUCUCUCUCUCAGAUGGAAGUGAGAGAGAGUGAGCCGGGGAGAGCAGAGAGAAGGAGUGUGAGAGGGGAGGAAAUCACCACUC